rnacentral:rRNA from 1 species
GGUCAAGUGAAGAAGCGCAUACGGUGGAUGCCUUGGCAGUCAGAGGCGAUGAAAGACGUGGUAGCCUGCGAAAAGCUUCGGGGAGUCGGCAAACAGACUUUGAUCCGGAGAUCUCUGAAUGGGGAACCCACCUAGGAUAACCUAGGUAUCUUGUACUGAAUCCAUAGGUGCAAGAGGCGAACCAGGGGAACUGAAACAUCUAAGUACCCUGAGGAAAAGAAAUCAACCGAGAUUCCCUUAGUAGUGGCGAGCGAACGGGGAUUAGCCCUUAAGCUUCAUUGAUUUUAGCGGAACGCUCUGGAAAGUGCGGCCAUAGUGGGUGAUAGCCCCGUACGCGAAAGGAUCUUUGAAGUGAAAUCGAGUAGGACGGAGCACGAGAAACUUUGUCUGAACAUGGGGACCAUCCUCCAAGGCUAAAUACUACUGACUGACCGAUAGUGAACCAGUACCGUGAGGGAAAGGCGAAAAGAACCCCGGAGAGGGGAGUGAAAUAGAACCUGAAACCGUAUGCGUACAAGCAGUGGGAGCCUACUUGUUAGGUGACUGCGUACCUUUUGUAUAAUGGGUCAGCGACUUAUAUUCAGUGGCAAGCUUAACCGUAUAGGGUAGGCGUAGCGAAAGCGAGUCUUAAUAGGGCGUUUAGUCGCUGGGUAUAGACCCGAAACCGGGCGAUCUAUCCAUGAGCAGGUUGAAGGUUAGGUAACACUGACUGGAGGACCGAACCCACUCCCGUUGAAAAGGUAGGGGAUGACUUGUGGAUCGGAGUGAAAGGCUAAUCAAGCUCGGAGAUAGCUGGUUCUCCUCGAAAGCUAUUUAGGUAGCGCCUCAUGUAUCACUCUGGGGGGUAGAGCACUGUUUCGGCUAGGGGGUCAUCCCGACUUACCAAACCGAUGCAAACUCCGAAUACCCAGAAGUGCCGAGCAUGGGAGACACACGGCGGGUGCUAACGUCCGUCGUGAAAAGGGAAACAACCCAGACCGCCAGCUAAGGUCCCAAAGUUGUGGUUAAGUGGUAAACGAUGUGGGAAGGCUUAGACAGCUAGGAGGUUGGCUUAGAAGCAGCCAUCCUUUAAAGAAAGCGUAAUAGCUCACUAGUCGAGUCGGCCUGCGCGGAAGAUGUAACGGGGCUCAAACCACACACCGAAGCUGCGGGUGUCACGUAAGUGACGCGGUAGAGGAGCGUUCUGUAAGCCUGUGAAGGUGAGUUGAGAAGCUUGCUGGAGGUAUCAGAAGUGCGAAUGCUGACAUGAGUAACGACAAUGGGUGUGAAAAACACCCACGCCGAAAGACCAAGGGUUCCUGCGCAACGUUAAUCGACGCAGGGUUAGUCGGUUCCUAAGGCGAGGCUGAAAAGCGUAGUCGAUGGGAAACAGGUUAAUAUUCCUGUACUUCUGGUUACUGCGAUGGAGGGACGGAGAAGGCUAGGCCAGCUUGGCGUUGGUUGUCCAAGUUUAAGGUGGUAGGCUGAAAUCUUAGGUAAAUCCGGGGUUUCAAGGCCGAGAGCUGAUGACGAGUCGUCUUUUAGAUGACGAAGUGGUUGAUGCCAUGCUUCCAAGAAAAGCUUCUAAGCUUCAGGUAACCAGGAACCGUACCCCAAACCGACACAGGUGGUCGGGUAGAGAAUACCAAGGCGCUUGAGAGAACUCGGGUGAAGGAACUAGGCAAAAUGGCACCGUAACUUCGGGAGAAGGUGCGCCGGCUAGGGUGAAGGAUUUACUCCGUAAGCUCUGGCUGGUCGAAGAUACCAGGCCGCUGCGACUGUUUAUUAAAAACACAGCACUCUGCAAACACGAAAGUGGACGUAUAGGGUGUGACGCCUGCCCGGUGCCGGAAGGUUAAUUGAUGGGGUUAGCGCAAGCGAAGCUCUUGAUCGAAGCCCCGGUAAACGGCGGCCGUAACUAUAACGGUCCUAAGGUAGCGAAAUUCCUUGUCGGGUAAGUUCCGACCUGCACGAAUGGCGUAACGAUGGCGGCGCUGUCUCCACCCGAGACUCAGUGAAAUUGAAAUCGCUGUGAAGAUGCAGUGUAUCCGCGGCUAGACGGAAAGACCCCGUGAACCUUUACUGUAGCUUUGCACUGGACUUUGAGCCUGCUUGUGUAGGAUAGGUGGGAGGCUUUGAAGCGUGGACGCCAGUUCGCGUGGAGCCAUCCUUGAAAUACCACCCUGGCAUGCUUGAGGUUCUAACUCUGGUCCGUGAUCCGGAUCGAGGACAGUGUAUGGUGGGCAGUUUGACUGGGGCGGUCUCCUCCUAAAGAGUAACGGAGGAGUACGAAGGUGCGCUCAGACCGGUCGGAAAUCGGUCGUAGAGUAUAAAGGCAAAAGCGCGCUUGACUGCGAGACAGACACGUCGAGCAGGUACGAAAGUAGGUCUUAGUGAUCCGGUGGUUCUGUAUGGAAGGGCCAUCGCUCAACGGAUAAAAGGUACUCCGGGGAUAACAGGCUGAUACCGCCCAAGAGUUCAUAUCGACGGCGGUGUUUGGCACCUCGAUGUCGGCUCAUCACAUCCUGGGGCUGAAGCCGGUCCCAAGGGUAUGGCUGUUCGCCAUUUAAAGUGGUACGCGAGCUGGGUUUAGAACGUCGUGAGACAGUUCGGUCCCUAUCUGCCGUGGACGUUUGAGAUUUGAGAGGGGCUGCUCCUAGUACGAGAGGACCGGAGUGGACGAACCUCUGGUGUUCCGGUUGUCACGCCAGUGGCAUUGCCGGGUAGCUAUGUUCGGAAAAGAUAACCGCUGAAAGCAUCUAAGCGGGAAACUUGCCUCAAGAUGAGAUCUCACUGGGAACUUGAUUCCCCUGAAGGGCCGUCGAAGACUACGACGUUGAUAGGCUGGGUGUGUAAGCGUUGUGAGGCGUUGAGCUAACCAGUACUAAUUGCCCGUGAGGCUUGACCAU